rnacentral:rRNA from 1 species
CCUACGGGAGGCUGCAGUGAGGAAUAUUGGUCAAUGGCCGCAGGGCUGAACCAGCCAAGUCGCGUGAGGGAUGACGGUCCUAUGGAUUGUAAACCUCUUUUGUCAGGGAGCAAAGGGCGCCACGUGUGGCGCUUUGCGAGUACCUGAAGAAAAAGCAUCGGCUAACCCCGUGCCAGCAGCCGCGGUAAUACGGAGGAUGCGAGCGUUAUCCGGAUUUAUUGGGUUUAAAGGGUGCGCAGGCGGAAUGUCAAGUCAGCGGUAAAAUUUCGGGGCUCAACCCCGUCGUGCCGUUGAAACUGGCGUUCUUGAGUGAGCGAGAAGUAUGCGGAAUGCGUGGUGUAGCGGUGAAAUGCAUAGAUAUCACGCAGAACUCCGAUUGCGAAGGCAGCAUACCGGCGCUCAACUGACGCUCAUGCACGAAAGCGUGGGUAUCGAACAGGAUUAGAUACCCGGGUAGUC